AUAGCCUUUAUGCGCUGUAGUGGAACUGUCACCGUUGGUUUGACAGCUGGGGUUAUGUUGCCCAUGGUGUAUCGGGGUUGUUCCAGUAUGCAGGUUUCGUCAUUAUAAGGGUAUCUUUUGAUUGUCAUCGAAGCAUUGGUGUGUUCAGGUGUUUGCUUCUUUUUCUAGUUGGCUGGUUCUCUUUUGGGUUCUGCGGAUACUUCGAGAGAUGCAGAUUGGUGUUUUCCGACGUUUGAGCGUUUCCAGAAGGAAUUCAUUGUCGAUGUUCGAAUUGUUAGUGGAUUUUUUUGUUGUUGAUUAUAAAUUGUUAUUGUAUCUUCGGUAAUAGAUGCAUUGGAAUUCUUCGUGAAAAGGUAAUCAAUUGGUUUUUCUGAGUUUAGGGUAAAAGUGCCUGUAGUAUUAACUAUAUUUUUCUAAUAAAUUUUAUUUUAUUGGGAAUCAGCUUGUUCGUGUGAUUAAUGAUGGAAAUCGAUCUUGAAUUGUAUUUACCAAUUUUUAAGUCAAAAUGCUUUUAGUAUUAAUUAUAUUUUUUUUAUGAAUUUUCAU